CGCACAUUGCGCCCACUAGCACUCUAGUGGGCAUGCCUGUUCGAGCGUCAUUUUCCACCCUCGAGCCACCUGUGGCUCGGUGUUGGGGCGUGCUACAGCGGUGCCUUGGCGCCUUGUAGGCCCUGAAAAUUAGUGGCGGGCUCGCUAGUGCUCCGGGCGUAGUAGUCUCUUACCUAUCGCCUAGGAGGCCUUGCGGGUUGCUGGCCGUUAAACACCCCUAAAUUACAAAAGGUUGACCUAGGAUCAGGUAGGAAUACCCGCUGAACUUAA
rnacentral:misc_RNA from 1 species